AUGACAAAGAUCAGCGGUGCUCCAUCCUCUCUUCCCAGGAUCUUCUCUACAGUGCACCCGAGUGGGAGACAGAAGCAUCAGCAAAAGGAAAUGCAAAAGAAGAAAGACAAUGAGAUAAGAGCUGCAGGCAGUUAACUCUGCAGCUCACACACGAUUGAGCCUGUAUGAUAAUGAGUAUUCAGAGACGGGUAAUGCCUGGAGGGCGCUCACCAGCCUAAGACAAAGCACCUGUGUGGCCUGGGCAGGUGUCUCCAUGACGGGUGCCUGUUUGUUUUCUAAUGAAAGACAGAAAUGGAGAGGAUCCAGAUGGGAAGGGUGAUAGUGAGGAACUGGAAGAAUUAUGAGGAGAAACGUGAAUGCUUCCCGUCUCCAGCUUUCUUCUUUUCCUCAGAGCCAAACGCUGUCUGCAAUCAAGGUAGUCAGCAGUGCUUAUGUGCAGAAUAGUUACCAGCUGAUGACGGCUCAUUGCACCUGAUCCUGACCGUGUGGCAGCAAUAGAGACCGAGCAGGGAAAGGAGGGGAGGCUGAGCUCACGGAGCCUGGAUUGCUCUGCCAACCUCCAGUUUUAGGACCAGAAGGGCAGAGAUCCCACUAAAAUAAACUCAUGGCUAGCUUUAAAAUAUCCCAGCAACAAAGAUAAUAACAUAAUGCCCAUGUAGCUCAGUGGCUAGAAGGCUGGCCUUGUUAGUUAUUAUGCGGCACUGUGUUAUUCAUUAAGCGCGAGAAAAGCCACAGGAAACAACAAAACCCACUCUAAGAGUUUAUUAAGAGAAGGAGCAGAAAGGAGUGCUUAGGCCCAGGGAGAGAGAGGGGAGGGGUCUGCGACUCGCUUUUUAUGGAUUCCCCCACACAUGUGCAUAUGGGCUUACGUAGCUGUGCCACACAUGUGCAUGGAUUACGUGAUCACACUGCAUGCACAUUACAUGACCACGCUGCAGCUCAUGGAUUGCAUAGGUUGUAAGACCCCCAAAACGACUAAGCGUCUCGCCAGUGCUUGUGCGGUGAUGGGGGAGUGGCUAGAAAUUCCAACAGGCCUAGCAUAUCGGAGGACCUGGAUUCAAGUCCUCAGAACUGCCUAAAACAGGGCAGUGGGAGCUCAAAGGCUCAAUCUCAGCUACUCCAGAGGUGGAAGCUGGAGGAUAAGGACUUCAAGCUCAUCUCUGGCCUUAUACAGCUCAAGGCCCACCUGGGCUACAUUAGACCCUGUCUCAGAACACAACAGAAAACUGGGAUUAUUCCUUUUUCUUCUUGGUAGGUUCAGCUGCUUGCCUUGAAAUCUGGCAGCCUGAAUUUGAUUCCUGGGCCCCACAUGGUAGAAGGGAAAGAACUGACCCCUGUAGGUUGUCCUCUGACCUCUACACUCACUCCAUGGCAUGUGUGCACUCACAUACACAUACAACACAAAUAAAUGCGAUAAAAACUGUUAAAUGAUGAAGUAAAGGCAGCACUCUGGAUAAUAACUAAAUUGUGGAACCAACCUCCGUGUCCAACAACAGAGGAAUAAAUAAGGAAAGUGUAGUACAUACACACAC